UAUACAAGGUGCUGCAUGGUUGUCGUCAGCUCGUGCCGUGAGGUGUCGGUUAAGUCCCAUAACGAGCGCAACCCUAUCAUUAGUUGCCAUCAGGUCAAGCUGGGGACUCUAAUGAAACUGCCUACGCAAGUAGUGAGGAAGGUGGGGAUGACGUCAAAUCAGCACGGCCCUUACGUCCAGGGCUACACACGUGCUACAAUGGCCGGUACAAAGGGCAGCUACCUGGUGACAGGAUGCUAAUCUCAAAAGCCGGUCUCAGUUCGGAUCGGAGUCUGCAACCCGACUCCGUGAAGCUGGAAUCGCUAGUAACCGCGCAUCAGCCAUGGCGCGGUGAAUACGUUCCCGGGCCUU
rnacentral:rRNA from 1 species